GAUGAACGCUGGCGGCGUGCCUAAUACAUGCAAGUCGAGCGAAAAGAUGAGGAGCUUGCUCCUCUGACGUUAGCGGCGGACGGGUGAGUAACACGUGGAUAACCUACCUAUAAGACUGGGAUAACUUCGGGAAACCGGAGCUAAUACCGGAUAAUAUAUUGAACCGCAUGGUUCAAUAGUGAAAGACGGUUUUGCUGUCACUUAUAGAUGGAUCCGCGCCGCAUUAGCUAGUUGGUAAGGUAACGGCUUACCAAGGCAACGAUGCGUAGCCGACCUGAGAGGGUGAUCGGCCACACUGGAACUGAGACACGGUCCAGACUCCUACGGGAGGCAGCAGUAGGGAAUCUUCCGCAAUGGGCGAGAGCCUGACGGAGCAACGCCGCGUGAGUGAUGAAGGUCUUCGGAUCGUAAAACUCUGUUAUUAGGGAAGAACAAAUGUGUAAGUAACUAUGCACGUCUUGACGGUACCUAAUCAGAAAGCCACGGCUAACUACGUG
rnacentral:rRNA from 1 species